GAUGAAGAACGCAGCGAAAUGCGAUAAGUAAUGUGAAUUGCAGAAUUCAGUGAAUCAUCGAAUCUUUGAACGCACAUUGCGCCCGCCAGUAUUCUGGCGGGCAUGCCUGUCUGAGCGUCAUUUCAACCCUCAAGCAACUUCUGCUUGGUGUUGGGGAUCGGCCGUCAAACGCCGCCCCCGGAAUCUAUUGGCGAUCUCGCUGUAGCUUCCUAUGCGUAGUAGUAACAUCUCGCAUCUGGAGAGCGGCGCGGUCAUGCCGUAAAACACCCAACUUCUCAGGUUGACCUCAGAUCAGGUAGGAAUACCCGCUGAACUUAAGCAUAUCAAUAAGCGGAGGA
rnacentral:misc_RNA from 1 species